CGCUUUACACCCACUCUGAGCACUAAUCAGACUCACACUAGGCAGAAAACACUUAAAUAAAAAUACUUGCAGUUAACAGAGCUGACACUGAUAAUUACAUAUUUCUCAAGUCUGUGCCUGUUGCACUUUAAAGCAAUGGGACGCCAAGGUCUUAUGCAAUGGCUGUUUCUUUUUUUAAACCCCAAACAAUAUAACAUCACAGAAAAUAGGGCGACGCCGCGCAUCGCUGCUGCUCAUGUUAGCGCCCAGACAACACCCAGUAACCCCCACAUACCCUCAUUUCUUGGCUGCACACACCUGAAACAGCUAAUUUUUCUGGGAGCCUUCCAAAGAGCCAAAUUUGUUGCUUGCACAUGCAUGUGGGUUGGCAGCAGCAGCAGCAGCAGCAGCGGAGGCUCUCUAAAUAUCUGACACCACCGGAAACAACGCCCACGAACAAGGCAUCCUCUGAUUCUGCUCUCAGAUUGUUUACUGUGGGUAGUUAGUGCUCAUUUUUAUGUCUUAAAUUUCAUUGCCAAAACAAAGAAGUGGGGGAUGGGAAGUUGUUUAAUUCAUAAAGCAUGCAUUUUAUUUAUGGAAGACAAAAGAUUUGGAGCAAUUAUUGCUCUGGAAGAACCGUGCCUUCUAAAACGUUACAGCUUCAGAUGUUCCCCAUCUUUAUCAGCCUGAAGCUGCAUUUGUGGAUUUCCCAGUCAGCCACCGCUGCUCCUGGCGAGGAGGCCUAUUGCUUCUGAUCUAGAAGUUAAUAAUGCAAGAUGGUGCCAGCAGCCAAUGUCAGAUGCAUGUGUUGAACUGAUGACCUGCUGCUCAAAGUACUUACCAUGAGGUCGUGGAGAAAGUGGAAUGAAAAACUGAGAUUGUUUCAGAAUCGUGUGGAAGAUUUCUGGAUUUCUGGCAGUUUGAACUGAGACAAUAUUUGGCAACUCCCGUCUACUUCAGAUGCUAACAGGAACGAUUCUUGGCUGCCCCUCACCUUCUUACAGCUACACAGAGGAGGUUUGAUGGAAUUAUAGGACAAAGCCAGUCAUUUCCUAUAUUAACUGUAUUUUCAACACUCCCCUUACAACGACAAUGAGCUGCCUCUGCUCACAGGUCAUGUCUGUCAUUGUGUCUGUCCUGGCCCAGCUUGUUCUUUGCAAUAGAUCUUCAUUGUAAUUCAAAAACAAUUAAAAACACAUCAGUGAAACACACCACUGCACAGGGUGACAUGUUUCUUCUUCAGCAAAUGUGAGUAGCUAACAGAAUGUGAACUAAACAGAGAACUGGUGUAAGAUGUGCAGCUGCCUCUGACUCGUGCUAACUUCAGGAUAUUAUGGCUGCUCUCUGAGGCUUUGAGGCAACAUAGUUGGUUCUGGGGUUUUGGAAUGAAAAACUUGUCACCCAGUGCUGAGACGUGCACAAUAUAACUUUGUCUUAAAAUCUGUCAAAUCUUCGU